rnacentral:rRNA from 1 species
GAUGAACGCUGGCGGCGUGCCUAAUACAUGCAAGUCGAGCGAAUGGAUUAAGAGCUUGCUCUUAUGAAGUUAGCGGCGGACGGGUGAGUAACACGUGGGUAACCUGCCCAUAAGACUGGGAUAACUCCGGGAAACCGGGGCUAAUACCGGAUAACAUUUUGAACCGCAUGGUUCGAAAUUGAAAGGCGGCUUCGGCUGUCACUUAUGGAUGGACCCGCGUCGCAUUAGCUAGUUGGUGAGGUAACGGCUCACCAAGGGAACGAUGCGUAGCCGACCUGAGAGGGUGAUCGGCCACACUGAGACUGAGACACGGCCCAGACUCCUACGGGAGGCAACAGUAGGGAAUCUUCCGCAAUGGACGAAAGUCUGACGGAGCAACGCCGCGUGAGUGAUGAAGGCUUUCGGGUCGUAAAACUCUGUUGUUAGGGAAGAACAAGUGCUAGUUGAAUAAGCUGGCACCUUGACGGUACCUAACCAGAAAGCCACGGCUAACUACGUGCCAGCCGCCGCCGUAA